UACAGAGGAUGCAAGCGUUAUCCGGAAUUAUUGGGCGUAAAGCGCGCGCAGGCGGUUUCUUAAGUCUGAUGUGAAAGCCCACGGCUCAACCGUGGAGGGUCAUUGGAAACUGGGGAACUUGAGUGCAGAAGAGAAAAGCGGAAUUCCACGUUGUAGCGGUGAAAUGCGUAGAGAUGUGGAGGAACACCAGUGGCGAAGGCGGCUUUUUGGUCUGUAACUGACGCUGAGGCGCGAAAGCGUGGGGAGCAAACAGG
rnacentral:rRNA from 1 species